rnacentral:rRNA from 1 species
UACAGAGGUCUCAAGCGUUGUUCGGAUUUAUUGGGCGUAAAGAGCUCGUAGGCGGCUCGUUGCGUCAACCGUGAAAACCCGGGGCUUAACUUCGGGCUUGCGGUUGAUACGGGCGGGCUGGAGUUCGGUAGGGGAGACUGGAAUUCCUGGUGUAGCGGUGAAAUGCGUAGAGAUGUGGAGGAACACCGAUGGCGAAGGCAGCCCCCUGGGCCUAUACUGACGCUCAUGCACGAAAGCGUGGGGAGCAAACAGG